rnacentral:rRNA from 1 species
AUUGAACGCUGGCGGCAGGCCUAACACAUGCAAGUCGAGCGGGGCGGCGGACGGGUGAGUAAUGCCUAGGAGUCAGCCUGCCAGUGGGGGAUAACGUCCGGAAACGGGCGCUAACACCGCAUACUAUCAGAUGAGCCUAGAUAGGUUUGGCUAGUUGGUGGGGGAAAGGCCUACCCAGGCGACGAGCCGUAACUGGUCUGAGAGGAUGAUCAGGCACACUGGAACUGAGACACGGUCCAGACUCCUACGGGAGGCAGCGGUGGGGAAUAUUGGACAAUGGGCGAAAGCCUGAUCCAGCCAUGCCGCGUGUGUGAAGAAGGUCUUCGGGUUGUAAAGCACUUUAAGUUGGGAGGCGGUACCAGCAGAAUAAGCACCGGCUAACUCCGUGCCAGCAGCCGCGGUAAUUC